rnacentral:lncRNA from 1 species
UCACAUCCAAUGCCCACCCUCGGAAAGGCCAGGACUUCACAAUUGUAUGCAACUCGCUUGCAGGCACAUGCUGUAUGCCCCCAUGCAAUUGGCAUUCCUGACAGCUUUUAGCAAAUUCAAUGCAAUCCUUCAACAUUGAAGGCCAAAAACUCCUGAGCGCAUCAAAAUCCAUUUCAUCUUCCGUCCUGCCUGAUGCGCCCCACACGCUCCACUAUGUACACUAGACACAACCACAUAUGCCUCACU